CUUCCUCUGUCUCUCUCGCCCUGGGUUCCGUGCCCCUGGAUCACCAGCUGCCAUGUCCUGAGGACACUUGGGCAGCCUGUGGGGAGAUCUACAUGACAAAGAAACAAGACCUGCCAGCAACCACGAUGAUGACGGAGACAGGGCUAACUUACUCACGCUGUCUUUCUCCAGAUGGGCUUUCUUCUUCCCACGGGAAAUCGUUCUUGGAGUCACUGCUGUUGCCUAAAAUAUAUGCAAAUGCUACCUUCACUGCUCCUGGCACAGGCAGGUUCUGCAUCAUUUGGACCAUGGGCACUUGGUGGGUGAUGAACCCCUUCACCUCAGAGCACGGCCAGCAGGCAGCGCGAGCUUGAUGUCAGCAAUCAGCCGAUGUUAAGGGAAAGACUGAAUUCUGCACAGAGAGAAGAUUUAGAGCUGGGAUGGCACAUGAAGAUUUGAUGAAGACUAGAGUUGACUAUGCCACAUGGGAAAUUAUUCGUGUGUAAAAGUGAGAUGCAAAUAUGGGUGAUGUUACAAUUGUAUUCAGAAUAAUUUCUUGUUAGUGCAGUCGAGUUGAUUCUAGCUCCUAGCAACCCCGUGUAUAGCAA
rnacentral:lncRNA from 1 species